rnacentral:rRNA from 1 species
UAAGCAAUUAUACCGUGAAACUGCGAAUGGCUCAUUAAAUCAGUUAUCGUUUAUUUGAUAAUACCUUACUACUUGGAUAACCGUGGUAAUUCUAGAGCUAAUACAUGCUGAAAAUCCCGACUUCGGAAGGGAUGUGUUUAUUAGAUAAAAAACCAAUGCCCUUCGGGGCUUUUUGGUGAUUCAUGAUAACUUUACGGAUCGCAUAGCCUUGCGCUGGCGACGGUUCAUUCAAAUUUCUGCCCUAUCAACUUUCGAUGGUAAGGUAUUGGCUUACCAUGGUUUCAACGGGUAACGGGGAAUUAGGGUUCGAUUCCGGAGAGGGAGCCUGAGAAACGGCUACCACAUCCAAGGAAGGCAGCAGGCGCGCAAAUUACCCAAUCCCGACACGGGGAGGUAGUGACAAUAAAUACUGAUACAGGGCUCUUUUGGGUCUUGUAAUUGGAAUGAGUACAAUUUAAACCUCUUAACGAGGAACAAUUGGAGGGCAAGUCUGGUGCCAGCAGCCGCGGUAAUUCCAGCUCCAAUAGCGUAUAUUAAAGUUGUUGCAGUUAAAAAGCUCGUAGUUGAAACUUGGGCCUGGCUGGCGGGUCCGCCUCACCGCGUGCACUCGUCCGGCCGGGCCUUCCUUCUGAAGAACCUCAUGCCCUUCACUGGGCGUGCUGGGGAAUCAGGACUUUUACUUUGAAAAAAUUAGAGUGUUCAAAGCAGGCCUUUGCUCGAAUACGUUAGCAUGGAAUAAUAAAAUAGGGCGUGCGUUUCUAUUUUGUUGGUUUCUAGAGACGCCGCAAUGAUUAACAGGAACAGUCGGGGGCAUCAGUAUUCAGUUGUCAGAGGUGAAAUUCUUGGAUUUACUGAAGACUAACUACUGCGAAAGCAUUUGCCAAGGAUGUUUUCAUUAAUCAGUGAACGAAAGUUAGGGGAUCGAAGACGAUCAGAUACCGUCGUAGUCUUAACCGUAAACUAUGCCGACUAGGGAUCGGGCGAUGUUCUUUUUCUGACUCGCUCGGCACCUUACGAGAAAUCAAAGUUUUUGGGUUCUGGGGGGAUAUGGUC